rnacentral:lncRNA from 1 species
GGGGCAAUGGGAGGGAGGCCCAGGACUAGCCACUCUUCACCCUGGGGCUGAGAGGUAGCAAUCUAGGGACACAGAGGUCCUCUCCAGUCCUGUGGAGCCUAGAGCAUGGUUUCCCUCCCUUGCUGGUCAUGGGGUAUGUGCUCCACUGGCCCAGCAAGUUCAGCCCUCAGAACAUUGUGCGCUGCGUGGGGCUUAGCAUCUGGGCUACCCUUCACAUAAUUCUGUGGGAUUUGAUGUCUGGAGGGGACAUGAAGGGUUUCCAAAGGCACAGCUGGCCACAGCUGGUGUGACCCUUCUCCCAGCCCUCCAGGCCCCUGUACAGACCCUGCUCAUGUGUUCCCAAACCUGCAUGAUCUGAUGUGCCUUCCGGGCCAGCUGUCACCUCUGGCCAUGCAAGACCUUCUCCAGCUGGCUUGGGACAUAGCCCAGGGCUGUCACUGCCUGGAGGAAAAUCACUUCAUCCACAGCUUGGGAGUGCUCAGGGAACUCCCCACCCCCGCCAACCAGCUUAACUCCCUUACCCAAGGAAUAGCCCUUCCACAUCACUUAAGGAAAAGACUGAGGCUGGAGUUUCUGAGUCUGGGCAGUGAUUUUUUUGCUUAACUCUGCAGGGAUAUUGCCUCCAGGAACUGCCUGCUAAACUGCAGUGGACCCACCCAAGUGGCCAAGAUGGGGGACUUCAAGAUGGCAAGAGAUACCUACAGGUUAGGUCUUUCAGGGUGCUGCUCUGGGAGACCUUCUCACUGGGCUACAAGCCCUACCCUGGGUGCACCAAUCAGGAAGUGCUGGACUUUGUCUCAAAGGGGGACAGAAGGACUCUCCCAGGGGCUGUCCAGGCCUGUGUGAGUAUGGAGUGCUGCCUCGGGUGGGAGGUCUUUCACAGCCAUGGGCAGGCAUGAACUUUGCCUCUCCUCAGGUACCAUACACAUCACCAUCCAGUGUUGGCAGCACCAGCUUGAACUCCACCCAUUUUUCCAGCAUCUCGGAGCACCUUCCACGCUGCACUCAGGACUCUGAUGUGCUGAAUUCACCCCUUCCGAUGGAACUGGGGCCCAUCCUAAAGGAGGAAGGGACUGAGCAGCCCAUCUUUGAGGGGCCCAAGAUUCCCACAGACCCGGGAACUGAGUGUGGAGUGCAUAAAGAGCUGAGGAGGAAGCCUCCUUAGCCCCUGGCUGCCCUAUGGCCUCAAGCCCCCCAAAUCCAGGGGUCUCCAACCUCAGAACCUCUGGUUCCCACCUGUGGUUCCUGGGCCCCAAAGGGCCCUGAGGGUGAGGACUCUGGUGCUGAUGUAGUAGUUCCUCCUUGCACUCCUCCCUAGGCUUCUAGGUGGCUGGUGUUCUAAGUAGCCUCGGUGCCCCACAGUCUGCUGCCUGUCUGGGCCUGUCUCAGAGCCGGCCUAGCACCGCUGAACUUUCCACCCUGGAAACCAGCCUCAGGCCUCCUGAGAAAGCCUGGCCACUCCCAGCCUUUGAUAUUUGGGACCAGAGGCUACCUUCCUCCACCACUACUUCCUGCCCCCCCCCCGGGGGGGGGGUAGGUGGGGAGUUGAAAUUGCCUCCUGCAGGAAGCCUUUGCUUGAUUGCCUUUACCCCAUGGGCAGCCUCCAUCUGGGUGGUCCCCACCCUGCAGAUGCCUCUAAUAAAGAGCUCUUC